GGGGGUGCACCGGUUUCGACGGUUAAGAGUAGUCUUGUACUGCAGGCAGGCGUGAAGGUGCCUUGAACUGACAACACAAUAACUGCAAAAGUUGCAAAACGUCGUGAAGAGGAAUCUUCCGAAGCAGUUAGCCUCGCUGCUUAAUGCGAGACCGGCACUUAUGGUGUGCUGUUCCUAACAUCAUAAACUGCUGUCACAAACAGGGACUUGCUCUGUAUUUCGCCUGAGUUAUACGGAGGACUUUUUUCAGGAUACGGAAACGACGCUUUUGAAGCUGCUACCGUUUCCCGACAAUCACCUCGCUUCAAUAAGCCUGUAGAGGUGCCUGGUUAGCUUAUCCGGACGGGGGUUCAAUUCCCCCCAUCUCCAAUA
rnacentral:tmRNA from 1 species